GAUUAACGCUGGCGGCGUGCAUAACACAUGCAAGUCGAACGAUGAAACUUUAAUGAACCCUUCGGGGAGAAUUAAAGCGGAUUAGUGGCGAACGGGUGAGUAACGCGUGAGUAACCUGCCUUACACAAGGGGAUAGCCUUUGGAAACGAAGAAUAAUACCCUAUAAAACCAUAAAAGCACAUGCAAUUAUGGUCAGAGUGAUAGCGGUGUAAGAUGGACUUGCGUCUGAUUAGCUAGUUGGUGAGAUAAAAGCCCACCAAGGCAACGAUCAGUAGCCGGCUUGAGAGAGUGUACGGCCACAUUGGGACUGAGACACGGCCCAGACUCCUACGGGAGGCAGCAGUGGGGAAUUUUGCACAAUGGGGGAAACCCUGAUGCAGCGACGCCGCGUGAUUUAGAAGGCCUUCGGGUUGUAAAAAUCUUUUGUAUAGGAAGAAAAUGACAGUACUAUACGAAUAAGGUCCGGCUAAUUACGUG
rnacentral:rRNA from 1 species